GACGUAGGGUGCAAGCGUUAUCCGGAAUCACUGGGCGUAAAGCGUCUGUAGGUGGUCAAAUAAGUCCACUGUUAAAUCUUGAGGCUCAACCUCAAAAUUGCAGUCGAAACUAUUAGACUAGAGUAUAGUAGGGGUAAAGGGAAUUUCCGGUGGAGCGGUGAAAUGCGUAGAGAUUGGAAAGAACACCGAUGGCGAAGGCACUUUACUGGGCUAUUACUAACACUCAGAGACGAAAGCGAGGGUAGCAAAUGGG
rnacentral:rRNA from 1 species